rnacentral:rRNA from 1 species
UGUGCCACAGCGAUGUGGUCUCAGCAAAGAGUCCCUCCCGACUGUUUACCAAAAACACAGCACUUUGCCAACUCGUAAGAGGAAGUAUAAGGUGUGACGCCUGCCCGGUGCUCGAAGGUUAAGAGAAUGCGUCAGUCGCAAGAUGAAGCGUUGAAUUGAAGCCCGAGUAAACGGCGGCCGUAACUAUAACGGUCCUAAGGUAGCGAAAUUCCUUGUCGGUUAAAUACCGACCUGCAUGAAUGGCGUAACGAGAUGGGAGCUGUCUCAACCAGAGAUUCAGUGAAAUUGUAGUGGAGGUGAAAAUUCCUCCUACCCGCGGCAAGACGGAAAGACCCCGUGGACCUUUACUACAACUUAGCACUGCUAACGGGAAUAUCAUGCGCAGGAUAGGUGGGAGGCUUUGAAGUAAGGGCUUUG